AAACACAGUGAUAGUGUAAAUAGUCCACAGUCGAGGCAAAGGUGUAUCUUUAUCUGAUGCGUGUCUUCUAUAAAGGCUGGUCCGUGUCAGCAACAGUUGCAAACAAGGAGUUUACGUUCAAAAAGUGGCAAUGCUUUUCUCGGUGGGUCUGAGCCUUGUGGUGCUGCUUUCAGUGGUGGGAGCAGCCACACUGGAGAGGUUUGUCACAUCUUCGGUCAAAUACUGACUUACAGAAGGCGAAUGCAUCAAGCCUUACUUUUAAAGACUCCAAAAUGGUUGAUUAGCACGUGUUAUGUCUUCUUGUUCCUCUGUGUCUUAUGUAUUUGGAUGUGCAACAGGGUGGAGUAUGACUACUACAAAUACCAUCCAAUGCCAGAGAGAUCACAGACUGGAUGGUUCAGGCUGCAAAUAAUUAACCUGAACUUGUGACUAUAGUGGAAUAUGGACAGACCUAUGAGAAGAGGACUAUUAGCUUGCUCAAGAUUGGCGUUAAUACAGGGGAGCAAAAGAAAGCUAUCUGGAUGGACUGUGGUAUACACGCCAGAGAAUGGAUCGCCCCGGCCUUCUGUCAGUACUUUGUCAGAGAGAUCCCUCAAGCAUACAAAACGGACCCAAAGAUGCAAGCGAUGAUGAUGACGAAUAUGGACUUCUAUGUCACCCCCGUGCUCAACAUAGACGGAUACAUCCACUCCUGGAAGGACAACACUACUCGACUGUGAGGAAGACAGGUCACCGGGACCUUAAACUGCACCUGUUACGGCACAGACCUCAACCG